rnacentral:rRNA from 1 species
UAGGGAAUCUUCGGCAAUGGGGGGAACCCUGACCGAGCAACGCCGCGUGAGUGAAGAAGGUUUUCGGAUCGUAAAGCUCUGUUGUUAAGGAAGAACGAGUGUGAGAAUGGAAAGUUCAUGCUGUGACGGUACUUAACCAGAAAGGGACGGCUAACUACGUGCCAGCAGCCGCGGUAAUACGUAGGUCCCGAGCGUUGUCCGGAUUUAUUGGGCGUAAAGCGAGCGCAGGCGGUUAGAAAAGUCUGAAGUGAAAGGCAGGGGCUCAACCAUUGUAGGCUUUGGAAACUGUUUAACUUGAGUGCAGAAGGGGAGAGUGGAUUUCCAGGUGUAGCGGUGAAAUGCGUAGAUAUAUGGAGGAACACAGGUGGCGAAGGCGGCUCUCUGGUCGGUAACUGACGCUGAGGCUCGAAAGCGUGGGGAGCGAACAGG